rnacentral:rRNA from 1 species
CCUACGGGCGGCAGCAGUGGGGAAUAUUGGACAAUGGGGGGAACCCUGAUCCAGCCAUGCCGCGUGUGUGAAGAAGGCCCGCGGGUUGUAAAGCACUUUCAGUGAGGAAGAACGCCUGGUGGUUAAUACCCAUCAGGAAAGACAUCACUCACAGAAGAAGCACCGGCUAACUCCGUGCCAGCAGCCGCGGUAAUACGGAGGGUGCGAGCGUUAAUCGGAAUUACUGGGCGUAAAGCGCGCGUAGGUGGCUUGAUAAGCCGGUUGUGAAAGCCCCGGGCUCAACCUGGGAACGGCAUCCGGAACUGUCAAGCUAGAGUGCAGGAGAGGAAGGUAGAAUUCCCGGUGUAGCGGUGAAAUGCGUAGAGAUCGGGAGGAAUACCAGUGGCGAAGGCGGCCUUCUGGACUGACACUGACACUGAGGUGCGAAAGCGUGGGUAGCAAACAGGAUUAGAUACCCCAGUAGUC